AAAUAGCAUUUUUAAAGCAGCAUCAAUGCUGUUUAUUUUAAUUUCCUUCCAGUGUGCUUCACCAGACACUGGUUGUUUGGCUAAAUAUCUUGUGUGACGGGGUGAGUACUCCCUCUUCUCCACAACAUCUUUGUAAGACUGUCAUUCCAGGAGAGGGCACUCACCAGCUGUGGGGCAUUACCGAUCAGCGGCAGCUGCAGAUCCUCUAUUCAACCGCAGCAGAGCUCUAUUUAAGAGGAGAGGGAACCACUUCACAUCGCUGGAUGAUUAACUACUCACGGAUACUUGGAAUCGCUGAACCACAGAUGGAUGUACCUACCUGGAAGUCACCAUAACCCGCCUGGAUUACACACUCAAGGUUCACCUCUCCUCCAGCUUCACUUGCCCUCUGCCGCCAUCAUCUGGCUCCCUCUCCUGGACGUACCCCGUCACACCGUUUGCCCUCCCUGCUGGCUUUUGGACUCUUGCCGACUACUUCACACUUGGAUAUCUCCAGGACACUUUUAGUUAGGGUUAAUAAAUGAUUGUUUGAACUUUC